UACGGGGGGAGCAAGCGUUGUUCGGAUUUACUGGGCGUAAAGGGCGCGUAGGCGGCAUGACAAGUCACUUGUGAAAUCUCUGGGCUUAACCCAGAACGGCCAAGUGAUACUGUCGGACUAGAGUACAGAAGGGGCAACUGGAAUUCUCGGUGUAGCGGUGAAAUGCGUAGAUAUCGAGAGGAACACCUGCGGCGAAGGCGGGUUGCUGGGCUGAUACUGACGCUGAGGCGCGAAAGCCAGGGGAGCGAACGGG
rnacentral:rRNA from 1 species